AUUGAACGCUGGCGGCAGGCUUAACACAUGCAAGUCGAGCGAGCGGCGGACGGGUGAGUAAUGUCUGGGACCCUGCCUGAUGGCGGGGGAUAACUACUGGAAACGGUAGCUAAUACCGCAUACCAUCAGAUGUGCCCAGAUGGGAGUAGCUAGUAGGUGGGGGAAUGGCUCACCUAGGCGACGAUCCCUAGCUGGUCUGAGAGGAUGACCCGCCACACUGGAACUGGGACACGGUCCAGACUCCUAAGGGAGGCAGCAGUGGGGAAUAUUGCACCAUGGGCGCAAGCCUGAUGCAGCAAUGCCGCGUGGGUGAAGAAGGCCUUCGGGUUGUAAAGCACUUUCAGCGAGGAGGCGUUACUCGCAGAAGAAGCACCGGCUAACUACGUGCCAGCAGCCGCGGUAAUAC
rnacentral:rRNA from 1 species